rnacentral:rRNA from 1 species
GACGAACGCUGGCGGCGUGCCUAAUACAUGCAAGUCGAGCGCUGAAGGUUGGUACUUGUCCCAACUGGAUGAGCAGCGGACGGGUGAGUAACGCGUGGGGAAUCUGCCUCUGAGCGGGGGACAACAUCUGGAAACGAAUGCUACUACUGCAUCAAACCUUUAAAGACAAGUUUUAAGUUUGAAAGAUGCAAUUGCAUCACUCAAAGAUGAUCCCGCGGUGUAUUAGCUAGCUGGUGAGGUAAAGGCUCACCAAGGGGAUGAUACAUAGCCGACCUGAGAGGGUGAACGACCAAAAUGGGAAUGAGACACGGCCCAAACUCCUACGGGAGGCAGCAGGAGGGAAUCUUCGGAAAUGGACGAAAGUCUGACCGAGCAACGACGCGUGAGUGAAGAAGGGUUUCGGAGCGGAAAACUCUGUUGGUAGAGAAGAACGUGGAGGAGAGUGAAAAGCUCAUAAAGUGACGGUAACUAACCAGAAAGCGACGGCUAACUACGUG